UGAGGAAUAUUGGUCAAUGGGCGCAAGCCUGAACCAGCCAUCCCGCGUGAAGGAAGAAGGCCCUACGGGUCGUAAACUUCUUUUCUGUUUGAAGAAUAAGCUCGUCGAGACGAGUGAUGCCGGUAGGACAGGAAUAAGCAUCGGCUAACUCCGUGCCAGCAGCCGCGGUAAUACGGAGGAUGCAAGCGUUAUCCGGAUUUAUUGGGUUUAAAGGGUGCGCAGGUGGUUUAAUAAGUCAGUGGUGAAAGUCUGGCGCUUAACGUUAGGAUUGCCAUUGAUACUGUUAGACUUGAAUAUGGAUGAGGUAGGCGGAAUGUGUAGUGUAGCGGUGAAAUGCUUAGAUAUUACACAGAACACCGAUUGCGAAGGCAGCUUACUAAUCCAUUAUUGACGCUGAGGCACGAAAGCGUGGGGAGCAAACAG
rnacentral:rRNA from 1 species